GAUGAACGCUGGCGGCGUGCCUAAUACAUGCAAGUCGAGCGAAUGGAUUAAGAGCUUGCUCUUAUGAAGUUAGCGGCGGACGGGUGAGUAACACGUGGGUAACCUGCCCAUAAGACUGGGAUAACUCCGGGAAACCGGGGCUAAUACCGGAUAACAUCUUGAACCGCAUGGUUCGAAAUUGAAAGGCGGCUUCGGCUGUCACUUAUGGAUGGACCCACGUCGCAUUAGCUAGUUGGUGAGGUAACGGCUCACCAAGGCAACGAUGCGUAGCCGACCUGAGAGGGUGAUCGGCCACACUGGGACUGAGACACGGCCCAGACUCCUACGGGAGGCAGCAGUAGGGAAUCUUCCGCAAUGGACGAAAGUCUGACGGAGCAACGCCGCGUGAGUGAUGAAGGCUUUCGGGUCGUAAAACUCUGUUGUUAGGGAAGAACAAGUGUUAGUUGAAUAAGCUGGCACCUUGACGGUACCUAACCAGAAAGCCACGGCUAACUACGUGCCAGCAGCCGCGGUAA
rnacentral:rRNA from 1 species